AACGUAGGAGACGAGCGUUAUCCGGAUUUACUGGGCGUAAAGCGCGUGCAGGCGGUUUUUUAAGUCACUUGUGAAAGCGCCCGGCUCAACUGGGCGAGGCCGUGUGAGACUGAAAAACUCGAGAGAGGUAGAGGCGAAUGGAAUUCCGGGUGGAGUGGUGAAAUGCGUAGAGAUCCGGAGGAACACCAGUGGCGAAGGCGAUUCGCUGGGCCUACUCUGACGCUCAGACGCGACAGCAUGGGGAGCGAAC
rnacentral:rRNA from 1 species